GUUGAUAUUGGCACCUGUGAUCAAUCGGUUCCAAAGGCAUAUCCAGAUAAGGGUAUUGUUAUUUGACUUGAUUCCCUCUGUAAUUAAUUAAACUGUAGAUUAAUGAUGGCGCCCACAUUUUCUACGGUUCCUAACUUAAUUUUUUGUUGUUGCCUUUGGUUGAUGGGCAAUGUGCUAUAUUCUUUGGCCUGCCAAAUGAGGAGACAAAUGGCUACUCGGCACAAUAUUCGUCAACUGGUUUUACUGAUAUGGGGAACACAGCUGAUGAAGGGAUGGAGUGAGUGAGUCAUAGUUCAACCAAGCCUUGAAUGUAGAAUUGGAUCAGAUUAUUGAGCUUUUAACAAAAUCUUUCCAGGCUGGUGGUUCUCCUGACAAUGUUCCACUUGGAGGGUUUGAAGCCAAUAGAUGUUGCAGCUGCAAGUAGGAAUUGAAGUGUUGUGGAGAUCCUCUUACCUUGAUCUGUUUUGGUAUUUAGACUCUUUAGGUAUAUAUAGGCAUGGAUAAUGUGCAUUUGACACAUUUAUCGACAAGUUUAUGUUUUUGGCCUUUAAGUAUAUAGGCAAGGUUAAUAUGUGUUAAUAUUGGGAUGAACCUACUGCUGAUGGAAUAUUGUAGAUCUUGUUGGAUUCAAUGGAAAGCUUUUGGUAUCAAUA